rnacentral:rRNA from 1 species
GGUUAAGCGACUAAGCGUACACGGUGGAUGCCCUGGCAGUCAGAGGCGAUGAAGGACGUGCUAAUCUGCGAUAAGCGUCGGUGAGGUGAUAUGAACCGUUAUAACCGGCGAUUUCCGAAUGGGGAAACCCAGUGUGUUUCGACACACUAUCAUUAACUGAAUCCAUAGGUUAAUGAGGCGAACCGGGGGAACUGAAACAUCUAAGUACCCCGAGGAAAAGAAAUCAACCGAGAUUCCCCCAGUAGCGGCGAGCGAACGGGGAGGAGCCCAGAGCCUGAAUCAGUGUGUGUGUUAGUGGAAGCGUCUGGAAAGGCGUGCGAUACAGGGUGACAGCCCCGUACACAAAAAUGCACAUAUUGUGAGCUCGAUGAGUAGGGCGGGACACGUGGUAUCCUGUCUGAAUAUGGGGGGACCAUCCUCCAAGGCUAAAUACUCCUGACUGACCGAUAGUGAACCAGUACCGUGAGGGAAAGGCGAAAAGAACCCCGGCGAGGGGAGUGAAAAAGAACCUGAAACCGUGUACGUACAAGCAGUGGGAGCCUCUUAAUGGGGUGACUGCGUACCUUUUGUAUAAUGGGUCAGCGACUUAUAUUCUGUAGCAAGGUUAACCGAAUAGGGGAGCCGAAGGGAAACCGAGUCUUAACUGGGCGUUAAGUUGCAGGGUAUAGACCCGAAACCCGGUGAUCUAGCCAUGGGCAGGUUGAAGGUUGGGUAACACUAACUGGAGGACCGAACCGACUAAUGUUGAAAAAUUAGCGGAUGACUUGUGGCUGGGGGUGAAAGGCCAAUCAAACCGGGAGAUAGCUGGUUCUCCCCGAAAGCUAUUUAGGUAGCGCCUCGUGAAUUCAUCUCCGGGGGUAGAGCACUGUUUCGGCAAGGGGGUCAUCCCGACUUACCAACCCGAUGCAAACUGCGAAUACCGGAGAAUGUUAUCACGGGAGACACACGGCGGGUGCUAACGUCCGUCGUGAAGAGGGAAACAACCCAGACCGCCAGCUAAGGUCCCAAAGUCAUGGUUAAGUGGGAAACGAUGUGGGAAGGCCCAGACAGCCAGGAUGUUGGCUUAGAAGCAGCCAUCAUUUAAAGAAAGCGUAAUAGCUCACUGGUCGAGUCGGCCUGCGCGGAAGAUGUAACGGGGCUAAACCAUGCACCGAAGCUGCGGCAGCGACACUAUGUGUUGUUGGGUAGGGGAGCGUUCUGUAAGCCUGUGAAGGUGGCCUGUGAGGGUUGCUGGAGGUAUCAGAAGUGCGAAUGC